rnacentral:rRNA from 1 species
GAUGAACGCUGGCGGCGUGCCUAAUACAUGCAAGUCGAGCGAACAGACGAGGAGCUUGCUCCUCUGACGUUAGCGGCGGACGGGUGAGUAACACGUGGAUAACCUACCUAUAAGACUGGGAUAACUUCGGGAAACCGGAGCUAAUACCGGAUAAUAUAUUGAACCGCAUGGUUCAAUAGUGAAAGACGGUUUUGCUGUCACUUAUAGAUGGAUCCGGGCCGCAUGAGUUAGUUGGUAAGGUAACGGCUUACCAAGGCAACGAUGCGUAGCCGACCUGAGAGGGUGAUCGGCCACCCUGGAACUGAGACACCGUCCGGACACCUACGGGGGGCCGCAGUAGGAAAUCUGCCGCAAGGGGCGAAAGCCUGACGGAGCAACGCCGCGUGAGUGAUGAAGGUCUUCGGGUCGUAAAACUCUGUUGUUAGGGAAGAACAAAUGUGUAAGUAACUAUGCACGUCUUGACGGAACCUAAUCAGAAAGCCACGGCUAACUACGU